rnacentral:rRNA from 1 species
AGAGUUUGAUCAUGGCUCAGAAUCAACGCUGGCGGCGCGCUUAACACAUGCAAGUCGGACGAGAAAGCGGGGGCAACCUCGCAAGUAAAGUGGCAUACGGGUGAGUAACACGUGGGUAAUCUACCUCCGGGUGGGGAAUAACGCUGGGAAACCGGCGCUAAUACCGCAUAAGCUCGGGAGAGGAAAGCGGUUUUGUGAAAGCAAAGCCGCGCCGGGAGAGGAGCCCGCGGCCGAUUAGCUAGUUGGUGAGGUAACGGCCCACCAAGGCAAAGAUCGGUAGCCGGCCUGAGAGGGCACACGGCCACACUGGCACUGAAACACGGGCCAGACUCCUACGGGAGGCAGCAGUGGGGAAUCUUGCACAAUGGGGGAAACCCUGAUGCAGCGACGCCGCGUGAGCGAUGAAGCCCUUCGGGGUGUAAAGCUCUUUCGGCAGGGAAGAAUGAUGACGGUACCUGCAGAAGCAGCUGCGGCUAACUACGUGCCAGCAGCCGCGGUAAUACGUAGGCAGCGAGCGUUGUUCGGAGUUACUGGGCGUAAAGGGUGUGUAGGCGGUUCUCCAAGUUUGGUGUGAAAUCUCCCGGCUCAACCGGGAGGGUGCGCCGAAAACUGGGGGGCUAGAGUGCGGGAGGGGAGAGUGGAAUUCCUGGUGUAGCGGUGAAAUGCGUAGAUAUCAGGAGGAACACCGGUGGUGUAGACGGCUCUCUGGACCGUAACUGACGCUGAAACACGAAAGCGUGGUAGCAAACAGGAUUAGAUACCCUGGUAGUCCACGCCCUAAACGAUGCAUAUUUGGUGUAGGUCAUUCAGUUGAUCUGUGCCGGAGCUAACGCGUUAAAUAUGCCGCCUGGGGAGUACAGUCGCAAGGCUGAAACUCAAAGGAAUUGACGGGGGCCCGCACAAGCGGUGGAGCAUGUGGUUCAAUUCGACGCAACGCGAAGAACCUUACCUGGGCUCGAACGGCUUCCUAACGGCGGUGGAAACACCGCUAUCCCGCAAGGGAGUGGA